AUAUCCCAAUCUGAUUUUCACUUUUUCCCCCUAAUUUCUCUUCCCUCUCUUCCUCGCUUUCGUUCCCCGUAAUACACCACUACCAUUCUUCCUCUCUUCUUCACUCUACAUCAUCCGCUGUUCACUCAACCAUUCACUCAACCAUUCACUCUCCAUCAGUCGUUCAUUCGCUGCCUUACGAGAGCGUUUCUCUCGUCUCCAUUAUCGAAAGGCUCUCGUUGCCUCUCCAUCAUCGAAGGCUCUUGCUGCCUCUCCAUCAUCGAAGGCUCUUGCUGCCUCUCCAUCAUCGAAGGCUCUUGCUGCCUCUCCAUCAUCGAAGGCUCUUGCUGCCUCUCCAUCAUCGAAGGCUCUUGCUGCCUCUCCAUCAUCGAAGGCUCUUGCUGCCUCUCCAUCAUCUCGUUGAACCACAGUUCAAGCAUGUUUGUCUAGGUAGGCUUUGAGAUGAUUGAUGCAAUUGCUGAGUCGUAGGGGAUUCCUAUGAACACUGCCCAUUCCAAAGCCAUUUUCGGAAAAGGGAUAGGAAAAUCUCGAAAUUGACAAUGACUGCUAAAGGAAUACCAGUAUUUUCGGCAGUUUAAGCUCUGACAGAGUGGAUGGUGUUUAGCUCCCUUAGAUUCUUGGGAGGCUUUGCAGCUGCCCUGAUUGAUGAUCCUCUGUGGGUCAUGAACACUGUCCCUAUUGAGGCCGAGUUCAACACCCUCGGUGUCAUAUAUGAACGUGGAUUGAUUGGAACCUACCAAAACUGGUUUAUGGCUGAUCCAUCUACACCUACACGACCACAAAGUGAGGACCAAAGUCAAUCGUCUACCCAACCCAAGUGUAGACGAGCGACUAGGCUAAAAGACUUGACUGUUAGUCGUAAUGUUGAUCAGAAAUUGCCCAUUCAAUUUGAUAUGAGUACAGGAAAAGUUAUUGGAGACAACCGUGCAAGAUUCACUAGCUUUGUGGCCUUACUUGGUAGAAGUAUUGUUAGUAUUCUUACUUGGUAGAAACUUGGCUACACUUAAAUAGUAUAUGUACAUUAAUGUAAUAUUUGGAUUUAAUAUAUAGUUUCAUGUAUAAAUGAUGUAUUAAAUAUUAGACUAUUUAACUUUUGAAAUGAAUUCUAUUUUGUUAGUUUCAAUAAAUUUGUUUAUUUAAAGCUA